GAUGAACGCUGGCGGCGUGCCUAAUACAUGCAAGUCGAGCGAACGGACGAGAAGCUUGCUUUUCUGAUGUUAGCGGCGGACGGGUGAGUAACACGUGGAUAACCUACCUAUAAGACUGGGAUAACUUCGGGAAACCGGAGCUAAUACCGGAUAAUAUUUUGAACCGCAUGGUUCAAAAGUGAAAGACGGUCUUGCUGUCACUUAUAGAUGGAUCCGCGCUGCAUUAGCUAGUUGUUAAGGUAACGGCUUACCAAGGCAACGAUGCAUAGCCGACCUGAGAGGGGGAUCGGCCACAUUGGAACUGAGACACGGUCCAGACUCCUACGGGAGGCAGCAGUAUGGAAUCUUCCGCAAUGGUCGAAAGCCUGACGGAGCAACGCCGAGUGAGUGAUGAAGGUCUUCGGAUCGUAAAACUCUGUUAUUAGGGAAGAACAUAUGUGUAAGUAACUGUGCACAUCUUGACGGUACCUAAUCAGAAAGCCACGGCUAACUACGUG
rnacentral:rRNA from 1 species